ACACUGUAUGAAAACAUGCAACAUCAUUACACACAGUACAAGGAGUCAGACUGGCAUAUGAGGAGCAAAGGAACCCAGACAGUAGCAUCGUUUCACAAUGUUUCCAUCACCAUCAUCAGUGGAUGCCUUUGCCGUCCGUACCCUGAGAUUUCAGAUUUGCAGCAAAAAAUUUGACUUUCCCAUUUAUUGGAAUGCUGUGCAGGUUGUACCUUGCAGCCAUCCAUUAGAAUGUCACCAAGCCGUAACAAAAGCAAGAGAGGGAAAGUACAAGGCUAUGUUCCCAAAACACACAAGUGACAUACCUUAUGUGGAGGAUGUGAUCAGGCUUGUGUUUGAUGAGGUAUUUGAAGAUAAGCUGAAGGAAACCCCGAUUCCAAUGGACCUGGCAUCACAGUUUGAGAGACCUUCAAAGGAGGAAGUGAUUGCAUGCCAUCUUC